GGGGAAUAUUGGGCAAUGGGCGAAAGCCUGACCCAGCAACGCCGCGUGAAGGAAGAAGGCCUUCGGGUUGUAAACUUCUUUUAUGAGGGACGAAGGAAGUGACGGUACCUCAUGAAUAAGCCACGGCUAACUACGUGCCAGCAGCCGCGGUAAUACGUAGGUGGCAAGCGUUAUCCGGAUUUACUGGGUGUAAAGGGCGCGUAGGCGGGAAGGCAAGUCAGAUGUGAAAUCCAGGGGCUCAACCCCUGAACUGCAUUUGAAACUGCUGUUCUUGAGUGUCGGAGAGGUAGAUGGAAUUCCUAGUGUAGCGGUGAAAUGCGUAGAUAUUAGGAGGAACACCAGUGGCGAAGGCGAUCUACUGGACGAUAACUGACGCUGAGGCGCGAAAGCGUGGGGAGCAAAC
rnacentral:rRNA from 1 species